rnacentral:misc_RNA from 1 species
UUAAGUUCAGCGGGUAUCCCUACCUGAUCCGAGGUCAACCUUUAAAAUAUUGGUGUUUGCUGGCAGGCACACAAACGGUACUCCAGAGCGAGAAAAUUACUACGCUUGAAGCCGAAUGGCACCGCCACUGAUUUUGAGGCCCACCCUGACGGAUGAAGCCCAAUACCAAGCAGAGCUUGAGGGUUGUAAUGACGCUCGAA